UAGUUGGCAGGGUAAGAGCCUACCAAGGCAGAGAUCGGUAGCCGGCCUGAGAGGGCACACGGCCACACUGGCACUGAAACACGGGCCAGACUCCUACGGGAGGCAGCAGUGGGGAAUCUUGCACAAUGGGGGAAACCCUGAUGCAGCGACGCCGCGUGAGCGAUGAAGCCCUUCGGGGUGUAAAGCUCUUUCGGCAGGGAAGAUGAUGACGGUACCUGCAGAAGCAGCUGCGGCUAACUACGUGCCAGCAGCCGCGGUAAUACGUAGGCAGCGAGCGUUGUUCGGAGUUACUGGGCGUAAAGGGUGUGUAGGCGGUUCUUUAAGUUUGGUGUGAAAUCUCCCGGCUUAACCGGGAGGGUGCGCCGAAUACUGAGGGACUUGGAGUGCGGGAGAGGAAAGUGGAAUUCCUGGUGUAGCGGUGAAAUGCGUAGAUAUCAGGAGGAACACCGGUGGUGUAGACGGCUUUCUGGACCGUAACUGACGCUGAGACACGAAAGCGUGGGUAGCAAACAGGAUUAGAUACCCUGGUAGUCCACGCCCUAAACGAUGCAUAUUUGGUGUGGGUCAUUCAGUUGAUCUGUGCCGGAGCUAACGCGUUAAAUAUGCCGCCUGGGGAGUACAGUCGCAAGGCUGAAACUCAAAGGAAUUGACG
rnacentral:rRNA from 1 species